rnacentral:ncRNA from 2 species
AUGGGCGCCCACGUCAUAGGUUGUCCCGGGGCAUCUGCUGCUUCUGGACCUAAGAGGGAAAUCGGUGAAAUACCGGUGCUGCCCCCGCAACUGUGACCGGGGAGUGUUCUGUCCCACUUUGCCACUGGCCGAAGGUAAUCCUUGCGAUUGCGGGCCGGGAAGGCGGACGGAAUGCUGUGAUCCGGGAGCCAGGAGACCUGCCUGUGUCGGUCGUUCAGC